GUGGACCUGGACUUUGUUGUGUUACUACAACUGGUCUGAAAUGGAUGAGUGCACCCUGCUGUUGCAGCGUCUUCAGUGUGAUAAGCAUCUUCACUGAUUCAAGUUCCUUCCGGACACGUGUGCAUUGUGGGCUCUGUGCUGGCAAACCGUCUUUGGACAAUCUUGACAAUUUGACCUCAGAUCGGGUGGGACUACCCGCUGAACUUAAGCAUAUCAAUAAGCGGAGGAAAAGAAACUAACAAGGAUUCCCCUAGUAACGGCGAGUGAAGAGGGAAAAGCUCAAAUUUUGAAUCUGGUGUCUUCGGCGCCCGAGUUGUAAUCUAGAGAAGUGUUUUCUGCCUCGGACCACACAUAAAUUCCCUGGAAUGGGGUGUCAUAGAGGGUGAGAAUCCCGUUUGUGGUGUGGACUACCUUGGCUCUGUGAUACACUCUCAACGAGUCGAGUUGUUUGGGAAUGCAGCUCAAAAUGGGUGGUAAAUUCCAUCUAAAGCUAAAUAUUGGCGAGAGACCGAUAGCGAACAAGUACCGUGAGGGAAAGAUGAAAAGCACUUUGGAAAGAGAGUGAAACAGUACGUGAAAUUGUUGAAAGGGAAGCGUUUGAAGUCAGUCACAUUGGUCGGAAUUCAGCCUGGCUUCUGCCUGGUGUACUUUCUGGCAAAUGGGUCAGCGUCAAUUUUGACCGAGAGAAAAAGACUUGAGGAAUGUGGCUGUCUUCGGGCAGUGUUAUAGCCU
rnacentral:rRNA from 1 species